UACGUAGGUGGCGAGCGUUGUCCGGAAUAACUGGGCGUAAAGGGUGCGUAGGUGGUCAAUUAAGUUAAAUGUGAAAGCCCGAGGCUCAACUUCGGAAUUGCAUUUAAUACUGGUUGACUAGAGUACUGGAGGGGUAAACGGAAUUUCUAGUGUAGCGGUGGAAUGCGUAGAUAUUAGGAAGAACACCGGAGGCGAAGGCGGUUUACUGGACAGCAACUGACACUGAGGCACGAAAGCGUGGGGAG
rnacentral:rRNA from 1 species